CCCUUAGAUGUUCUGGGCCGCACGCGCGCUACACUGGUCUUCGCAAACGGAUGCAUUCUCGAAGGAGAAUGCCAAUCUUGGAAUCUAUGCCUUGGUCGGGACAGUUGCUUGCAAUUUUUCGACUCGAACCAGGAAUUCCUUGUAAUCGUGAUUCAUCACAUCACGAUGAAUACGUCCCUGCCCUUUGUACACACCGCCCGUCGCUCCUACCGAUCGAAGAGUUAGGUGAAUUGUUUUGAUCGAUAAGAUUUGACUAUGGUCAACUCUCGUUGUGAAAUUCUGUGAAUCUGACUGUUUAGAGGAAGGAAAAGUCGUAACA
rnacentral:rRNA from 1 species